AGCAUGUACUUUUUAAAUUUUAUAUACUAUGUUACAUUGCAUACUAAAUUAUGUUAUUUUCGAAAUGACUUCGUACCUGCUAACAGUAUUUGCUUUUCAUGUUUUUAUAUCAUGAACAUCUGUAUACAAAUUAGGACAUGGAAAUGCAUAAUUCACAACAUAGUGUAUAUCUUAAGGCAAACGAAUGAAACUAAUUGAGCUUACUGUUAUAAAUGUUCAUGUUUCAAUAUGUUUGAUAUAUAACAAAUACAUAAAAUGAAUAUAAUUAUAUCAUCACUGUAAUGUAUGUAUCGUAAUUUCAUUAUUUUCAUUCCAAAAAAAAACAAACGUAUACAAUUUUUGUUAUGUGUACUCUAUGCACUUUGAAUGUAAUUGGUAUAUCUAUCAUGAAGCGCAUUGUAAACUUGAUCUUACGCUGACCUAUAGUUGUUAAUGUCUGUGUCAUUUUGGUCGUUUGUGGACAGUUGUCUUAUUGGCCAUUAUACCACAUCUUCUUUUUUAUAUUGAUCUUAGUUCGUCAACGGUCAGGUUGCAUGUUUUGCUUAUAUUUUACGAUUCGUUCAGUCUUCAAAACUACCUGUUUUACAUUUAAUGUUAUUGUUGUGGUACAUAUUCACACAUUUUACGCAUAAAACGGCAUGUUAGUUACAUUUUAACUAGUUUUAUCAGAUAUUUGUUCAAUGAUUACCUACAGAUAAACAGCAGCUUUACAAACAUACAGAGGGUGUUCGUGAUUGUACUUUUUGGAUUAAAAAAUCAUUAUUGAAUUGAACUAUUAAUUUGUUCAUAAAUUUUGAGGCAUGUUUUAUUGUAAUCUUAUUUUAACUUCUUUCGGUAUUUAUUGUAACACUCUUAAUUUUGUUUUUUGGGGUAUCGCUGAUAACGAGAGAAAUGAUCUGAUAGGAAUACACUAAAUUGGUGAUGACUGAAGGAAUAGUCGACAUUGUAGAGUAAAGUAGCUUUAUGGAACAGAUUUUUGUUUAAAGAACAGGUUUGUAUGUACUAUAUACCUUUACAGUGUUUUAAUCAAACAGGAAAUGAUAAGAUAUAUAGCACCGUGCUCAAUUAGAAAACGUUUAUUAGGAAAGAUACCAAAAUCAAAGUACAAAUUAGACGGAACAGUCCCUUAACACAUGGCAAAGCAAAAAUAUUUAAAACAUCAUAUGAUUGUUUAACAACCUGCAUAUCCCUGGCUUGGUACAAGCCUUACCUUAUGUAGAACUAAAUAGAAUAAACCUGCAUUUAUCAUGUUUAUAGUUAGAUGAACUUGUAUGACAGUCGCGUACGGAAUUCAACUAUGCAGAACUGCAUGUGUAAUCCAUUUUAGAGUAGAAAAUAUCUAAAACAAUUAUUAACAAUCAUGUAAUUUUUAGAGAUAUAGAAUGAUAAAAAUGAAGUCAAGACUUUUGCAGAUUUCGGUAAAUUUACUAAACUAUUAACGUUGUAAUUUGUUUAAUACUAGCAGGUUCAAUAGGUGCAGCAAAACCCAAAUACAAAACAAAAGUCAUUGUCCGAAAAAACAUCGAUCUUAAUCAGUAUCACACCCCCCCCCCCCCAAAUGUAUGUUCUUAAAGCUAAGUUAAUCAAUGGUGGAAUGAAAAAAGUAAAAUACAAGCAAUCCUUGAAAUUUACCUGUAAACAUGUUUUUUUUUUAUGAAAUUAACGUUUCUCGGUCGGUUGUAAGGUAUGGUUUUCACCAUUCAAAUUCUAAUUGUUUCAUUGUGAAUCAAUACAAAACUACAAUAACAAAGAUUUACCUGAUUUAUAAAUUCAAUAUAAAAAAAAUCUGCUUUGACAUUUUUUACAAAUAAUAUAUUUAUUAUUCAAUUUGAUUGGAUGGUAUAUACCCGCUAUGCUGGUUUUAGGGGUAUAUGCGCUCAUAAUUUUCGGAAAAAUCAUGAUUAAAUAUUACUUAAGGGGUUAGUUUGAGAAAUUUGAAGUUCGCCUAUAGUUAAACGUAGCAGAAGUUUGUAAUUUUUUUUACCACCUCACCCACCCUUUUAUGAGAUGGUUAUCGUUAAUGUCGGUAUAUCUAUAGACUACAUUAUAUUAAUAUGAUGUGUUCCUUUUUUGUAGAUAGUUUUUUUCAUUGUUUUACUGUAUAUAAAUGUGCUAUUGUAUUAUUGAAUUGGUGUCUGUCUGAAUUUAUAGUGAAGGAAUUUAGUUUGAGAAUCAUAUUGAGUGUAAUUGAUAUUAAAGGCUGCUACACCUGUAGGCACACGUAUUCUAUUUAUUUUUUGUUUUAUUUAUUAAUUAAUUUAUAUUCGUUUGAGCUGGCGAAUCAGAAUAUAACUGUUAUAAUGAUAUCUGUUUUUGUCUUGUAUAAACGGUAAUAUAAUAAAUUCCGUUGUGCCGGUGUUAAUGUGUAAAAUUGUAACAAUUAAAACGAAAAUAACUUAAAUACUCGGAUACUCAUUUUUUGUUUGCAUGUUUACAAAUAUUUGUUUCAGCUAAAUAUAAAUCAAGUACUCAUGCAGAAUUGCAAUAUGUAUGAUUUGUCAUUUACCAAAAUAAAAACUUCCAUGCGCUAAACGCGGAAACGUGAAUUAUUUUUUUGUUGUUGCAAGUUGUAACUAUAUGUUAGCACGAGCUUGUUCAAAUAAUGUAAUUAAAUAAAUGUGAAUUGCUAACGUGAGUUUUCUUAUCUCAUUCGGAAACAAUGUUGAUGAUAUAUUAUUUAUGUGCAGACAUCACAUGUUAACCUGUGUUUUAUUUUAUUUAUAGGCUGAUAAUCAAUCACCAGAAAGCCAUACAGAAUUAAGAAGGCGUCGUUACUCCGUAUAACUAAUAUUGGAUAUUCUAUCUAACAACAUGAACUAUGUGUAGUAAACAAUUAAAUUAGAGUGAUUUGAGUAAAAAGAAAUCAACCGCAACUUAAACAGUAUUUUCUACUUUUAUUUUUGCAUUUCUUUAUUUUUGCGUUUUCCUGUUGUAAUGUUCUUUUUUUUCAUCUUUUCAUUGUUCGUGCGUGG
rnacentral:lncRNA from 1 species